CCGUUGUCCCGUGCAGCCCUGGAGAUAAUGGAGAUCUGCAGUGUGGACCAGACAGGCUGUGAGGACCCUGACCUGGACACUGACACGACUGCACAUGCACUUCACAGUCUAGAGCAGGAACUCAGACUUAUGGCAAAGGAAACAGCAUUGCAGGCUUCAGUAUUUGCUUUGGAAAACAGCAGAUGUCAAGAUCAGCAUGGAAAUCAUUAUUUCACACGGGGCAGAGCCAGCGAGGAACAAAAGGAUGAGGAGGCGGCUGCACAGAGAGACCGGCAGAGUGUCCUUUCACUACCCUGAGAUAUUCACACACAUGCACAUAAAAACACACACGCACACACUUGCUUGUUAAAUAAGGGAAAAAAGGACAUGCACAAGAGAUAUAAGAGACUGAAGUGAGUGAAAACAAAAUGGGUGUAAUUUGAAUUGUGUUCACGUGGUGCAGAUGCUACUUAUACUAAAUCUGCACAGAACUCCUGUUGUGAAAAUAUAAA